rnacentral:lncRNA from 1 species
CACAAAAUAAAAAGAAUUGAGGCCCAAACAAAUUUGGACACAAAAAAAAUAAAAAAUAAUAAUAAUAAUAAAACCACUCUAAAUAAAUCCAACCCACAAAAUUAGAUUCUUUUCAAAUAAAUGGGCCCAAAUAAACCAAGCCCAAUUCAAUUAAAUGGGCAGCCAAGACUAAUCCACACAAUAACCAUGAAGUCAGACGCCUGAAAAUUGAGACGUCGUAUCACACCGAUUGCACACACAUAAACGCUCGAUCCAACUCCGAUAACCUACCAUACAUAGCCACACUUAAUUGAUACCCACCGGUGAAGAGGGGAAAAAACUACUCAAGCUACAAUUGAAUACCACUAUCGCUGUGCUGAAGAUGGCGAUCUGCACCACCACCGCCGCGUUGAAGACGACGAUCUACACCAACCAAGAUGUUGACCACAAAUCAGCCAACCCAAAAUUCCAAACGCAUGACCACCCAGAAAUCUUGAAUACCCUAAACAAGAAAUUCAAUCACCUACUCCGACCACCCCGUAGGCAGAAUAAAAUUGAAAAUCAAAGAUUCAACGAUGGGAGUAGAGGUAUCGCUGAUAGCGUGUCAAUAUUUUGGCUGAAUGCCCUUCCGAUUUGGGGCUCUUCCAUUAAAUAGAAAUAAUCGUAUCAUCCUAAUAUGGUAAACAAAAACUAAUUACAAUAAUUUACAAUCAAUUAUAUAUAGGUAAUUAUAGUCGUGAUAAUCUCCGUGGUAAUCUUCGAU